GCCUUUAGACUGUUUCAUAGUCAGUUUGUUAUGUUUUGUUUUUCUUCUCUCAGCUGCAGGGUCAACAAUGCCCAGGCUCUGCCCACCUGGUACCUUUUCCAACCUGCUAGGGCAGAGCAUGGCUUCUGAGUGCCAGCUUUGUCCCUCUGGAUUUUAUUGUGAAGGUUCUGGCCUCAGUGACCCCAGUGGAGAGUGCUGGGAAGGUUACUACUGUGACAGCAGCCAAGGGCCAGUCAGUGAUUUCACCCUUUACCCAUGCCCUCAGGGCUUUUACUGCCCACCCGGAACACACCAGGGCACUCAAUACAGCUGUCCCCCAGGUACUUUUGGUCCCAGGCAGAAGCUGAAGAGUAUCCAGGAAUGUCAGAGAUGCCCACUUGGAAAAUACUGUGAGUUUCCUGGUCUCUCCACCCCAACAGGGGACUGCGCUGAAGGAUUCUGGUGCAAGGGAGGUGCCCGAGUAAGAGACCCAAUGGAUGGAGUAACAGGGCUCCCAUGUCCUCCUGGGCAUUAUUGUC
rnacentral:lncRNA from 1 species